UACAGAGGUCCCAAGCGUUGUUCGGAUUCACUGGGCGUAAAGGGUGCGUAGGUGGCGAUGUAAGUCUGAUGUGAAAGCUUCGAGCUUAACUCGAAAAUGGCAUUGGAUACUAUAUUGCUGGAGGUUUGGAGGGGGGACUGGAAUUCUCGGUGUAGCAGUGAAAUGCGUAGAUAUCGAGAGGAACACCGGUGGCGAAGGCGAGUCCCUGGACAACACCUGACACUGAGGCACGAAAGCUAGGGGAGCAAACAGG
rnacentral:rRNA from 1 species